CGCAUAAAUUCUGUCACGAAGUGGCCGUUGGUAAAAAGGUCAGUCGCGACCCCGUCCCGCCCCCUUAACCGCCGCUGGCUUUGCUACUCCGAGAAGGCCUGUUUGGGCAAAGAGAGAGUGAAGGAGCUGGUAGGCAGGGAGUUGGAGAGAAUUACAGGAGAGGGAAAGGGGCCAGGAAGGUGGGUAGGUGAGUCAGAGAGGGCGAAUAAAGGGUUGAGCAUACCUCAAAGCUGGUAAAGAGAGGGGAAGUAACCCCUGCUUUUCUGUGGUGGAUGUGCUCUUCCCCGAAACAGAAAUAAUGGGCAUCGAAUCCAGUGCUAGGGGUGGGACAGUACAGUAGUACCUCGAGUUACAUACACUUCAGGUUACAUACGCUUCAGGUUACAUACGCUUCAGGUUACAGACUCCGCUAACCCAGAAAUAUUACCUCGGGUAAAGAACUUUACUUCAGGAUGAGAACAGAAAUCAUGUUCCGGCAGCGGGAGGCCCCAUUAGCUGAAGUGGUGCUUCAGGUUAAGAACAGUUUCAGGUUAAGGACGGCCCUCCGGAAUGAAUUAAGUACUUAACGCGAGGUACCACUGUAUUGCCAUUCUAAAGUGGAACAGCCUGCUCCCCCCCCCUUUGGUAUAUAGAAAUAAGUCAUGGGCCCACACACCGAUGCUAAGACUGCAGCUUACACCAUCCCAGACCCAGAGCUGGUCCACCCAUGAGGCAAAGAGAGGCAACUGCUUCAGGCUGCAGAAUCCACAGGGGCAGCAGAUCCUGGCGUAGAACUUCAUUCCCUACUCUUGUUCCUGGUGUAGAUCUUCAUUCACCCCUUCUUCCCUAGCGGGAAGGGAAAACAACUGAGGUUCGCCUCAGGUGCCAAAAUGUUUUGGGCCACCCCUGUCUCCAUCACUGCUGUUGCCACCCGCAAGAGGACUCAACAACACAUGAGCUUGACUAUGUGAUUGGAAAAGCAUGCUGAAGAGUGUCACCAGCAGCUGGUGAGAAUGAGUGAGCCUGCCAGUCAACACAGUAUUAUGAAUCUGCUCUGACGUGAAGGCCAAGUUGAGAGUAUGCCCAGCCAGCUACAUGUGUAGGACCAUUGAUGUACUGAGGAAACCCCGUGGUUCACAUGGAGGCCAUGAAGUCCUGAGCUGGCCCAUUUGAUGCAGCCUUGGCAUGUGUGUGUAUGUGUAAUUGGGUUUUAUAAACAAGAAUAAUGUUAUACAGUACAAAUAAGUAUAUCAAGUUUUCUCAUGUCAUUUGUAUAUCACAAAAAUAGCAUAAUAAAUGUGGAAAAAUAUCUAAAA